rnacentral:tRNA from 1 species
GCGGGUGUAGCUCAGUGGCUAGAGCGUCGGCUUCCCAUGCCGAAUGUCGAGGGUUCGAAUCCCUUCACCCGCU